UACGUAGGGUGCAAGCGUUAAUCGGAAUUACUGGGCGUAAAGCGUGCGCAGGCGGUUUUGUAAGUCUGGUGUGAAAUCCCCGGGCUUAACCUGGGAAUGGCGAUGGAGACUGCAAGGCUAGAGUUUGGCAGAGGGGGGUAGAAUUCCACGUGUAGCAGUGAAAUGCGUAGAGAUGUGGAGGAACACCGAUGGCGAAGGCAGCCCCCUGGGUCAAAACUGACGCUCAUGCACGAAAGCGUGGGGAGCAAACAGG
rnacentral:rRNA from 1 species